rnacentral:tRNA from 1 species
GUGGCUCAGUGGUAGAGCACCGAACUUUCAUGUGUGAAGUCCCAGGUUCGACUCCUGGC